CUAGAGCGCCAAUCUGGAAGACUGCGUGAGUGUACCCUAGGGAAAUGGAUUCUCAUCAUGUAAUGAGAAUCUGUACUCUCUCACCAAGUAUUUUUGCUUUUCUUAUGCAGAGUAUCUAACUGAAGAGCUGGUGAGAAAGAAUAAAGAACGCAGUGAGUAUCCUCCACCACAACAAAACACUAUGGGGUCCAGUGAUGGAAUGAGAAGAUCUCCCCUCUCAUCAGACAUUUCUUUUCUCUCCCCGUCUUUUUUUUUUUUUUUCUUCAGAGGAACAAGUAGGAGAGCUGG